rnacentral:rRNA from 2 species
GAGUUUGAUCCUGGCUCAGAUUGAACGCUGGCGGCAGGCCUAACACAUGCAAGUCGAGCGGAUGACGGGAGCUUGCUCCUUGAUUCAGCGGCGGACGGGUGAGUAAUGCCUAGGAAUCUGCCUGGUAGUGGGGGACAACGUUUCGAAAGGAACGCUAAUACCGCAUACGUCCUACGGGAGAAAGCAGGGGACCUUCGGGCCUUGCGCUAUCAGAUGAGCCUAGGUCGGAUUAGCUAGUUGGUGGGGUAAUGGCUCACCAAGGCGACGAUCCGUAACUGGUCUGAGAGGAUGAUCAGUCACACUGGAACUGAGACACGGUCCAGACUCCUACGGGAGGCAGCAGUGGGGAAUAUUGGACAAUGGGCGAAAGCCUGAUCCAGCCAUGCCGCGUGUGUGAAGAAGGUCUUCGGAUUGUAAAGCACUUUAAGUUGGGAGGAAGGGCAGUAAGUUAAUACCUUGCUGUUUUGACGUUACCGACAGAAUAAGCACCGGCUAACUCUGUGCCAGCCGCCGA